UCAGCCGCCGCGGUAAAACGUAGGAGGCAAGCGUUAUCCGAAUUCACUGGGCGUAAAGCGCGUGCAGGCGGUUCGGUAAGUUGGAUGUGAAAUCUCCCGGCUCAACUGGGAGAGGUCGUUCAAGACUGUCGGACUCGAGGCUGGUAGAGGAAGGUAGAAUUCCCGGUGUAGUAGUGAAAUGCGUAGAUAUCGGGAGGAAUACCUGUGGCGAAAGCGGCCUUCUGGACCAGACCUGACGCUCAGACGCGAAAGCUAGGGGAGCGAACGGGAUUAGAAACCCCGGUAGUCCUAGCCGUAAACGAUGUGAACUGGGUGUUGGCGGGGUAAAAGCCGUCAGCGCCGAAGCCAACGCGAUAAGUUCACCGCCUGGGGACUACGGCCGCAAGGUUAAAACUCAAAGGAAUUGACGGGGGCCCGCACA
rnacentral:rRNA from 1 species